rnacentral:rRNA from 1 species
CACUAUCGUUAACUGAAUACAUAGGUUAACGAGGCGAACCGGGGGAACUGAAACAUCUAAGUACCCCGAGGAAAAGAAAUCAACCGAGAUUCCCCCAGUAGCGGCGAGCGAACGGGGAGCAGCCCAGAGUCUGAAUCAGCUUGUGUGUUAGUGGAACGGUCUGGAAAGUCCGACGGUACAGGGUGAUAGUCCCGUACACCAAAAUGCACAGGCUGUGAACUCGAAGAGUAGGGCGGGACACGUGGUAUCCUGUCUGAAUAUGGGGGGACCAUCCUCCAAGGCUAAAUACUCCUGACUGACCGAUAGUGAACCAGUACCGUGAGGGAAAGGCGAAAAGAACCCCGGCGAGGGGAGUGAAAAAGAACCUGAAACCGUGUACGUACAAGCAGUGGGAGCACCUUCGGGUGUGACUGCGUACCUUUUGUAUAAUGGGUCAGCGACUUAUAUUCUGUAGCAAGGUUAACCGUAUAGGGGAGCCGCAGGGAAACCGAGUCUUAACUGGGCGUUAAGUUGCAGGGUAUAGACCCGAAACCCGGUGAUCUAGCCAUGGGCAGGUUGAAGGUUGGGUAACACUAACUGGAGGACCGAACCGACUAAUGUUGAAAAAUUAGCGGAUGACUUGUGGCUGGGGGUGAAAGGCCAAUCAAACCGGGAGAUAGCUGGUUCUCCCCGAAAGCUAUUUAGGUAGCGCCUCGUGAAUUCAUCUUCGGGGGUAGAGCACUGUUUCGGCUAGGGGGUCAUCCCGACUUACCAACCCGAUGCAAACUACGAAUACCGAAGAAUGUUAUCACGGGAGACACACGGCGGGUGCUAACGUCCGUCGUGAAGAGGGAAACAACCCAGACCGCCAGCUAAGGUCCCAAAGUCAUGGUUAAGUGGGAAACGAUGUGGGAAGGCACAGACAGCCAGGAUGUUGGCUUAGAAGCAGCCAUCAUUUAAAGAAAGCGUAAUAGCUCACUGGUCGAGUCGGCCUGCGCGGAAGAUGUAACGGGGCUAAACCAUGCACCGAAGCUGCGGCAGCGACACUAUGUGUUGUUGGGUAGGGGAGCGUUCUGUAAGCCUGCGAAGGUGACCUGUGAGGGUUGCUGGAGGUAUCAGAAGUGCGAAUGCUGACAUAAGUAACGAUAAAGCGGGUGAAAAGCCCGCUCGCCGGAAGACCAAGGGUUCCUGUCCAACGUUAAUCGGGGCAGGGUGAGUCGACCCCUAAGGCGAGGCCGAAAGGCGUAGUCGAUGGGAAACAGGUUAAUAUUCCUGUACUUGGUGUUACUGCGAAGGGGGGACGGAGAAGGCUAUGUUAGCCGGGCGACGGUUGUCCCGGUUUAAGCAUGUAGGCUGAUUGUCCAGGCAAAUCCGGAUAAUCAAGGCUGAGGUGUGAUGACGAGGUACUACGGUGCUGAAGUAACAAAUGCCCUGCUUCCAGGAAAAGCCUCUAAGCAUCAGGUAACAUCAAAUCGUACCCCAAACCGACACAGGUGGUCAGGUAGAGAAUACCAAGGCGCUUGAGAGAACUCGGGUGAAGGAACUAGGCAAAAUGGUGCCGUAACUUCGGGAGAAGGCACGCUGGUGUGUAGGUGAAGUCCCUGCGGAUGGAGCUGAGACCAGUCGAAGAUACCAGCUGGCUGCAACUGUUUAUUAAAAACACAGCACUGUGCAAACACGAAAGUGGACGUAUACGGUGUGACGCCUGCCCGGUGCCGGAAGGUUAAUUGAUGGGGUUAUCCGUAAGGAGAAGCUCUUGAUCGAAGCCCCGGUAAACGGCGGCCGUAACUAUAACGGUCCUAAGGUAGCGAAAUUCCUUGUCGGGUAAGUUCCGACCUGCACGAAUGGCGUAAUGAUGGCCAGGCUGUCUCCACCCGAGACUCAGUGAAAUUGAACUCGCUGUGAAGAUGCAGUGUACCCGCGGCAAGACGGAAAGACCCCGUGAACCUUUACUAUAGCUUGACACUGAACAUUGAGCCUUGAUGUGUAGGAUAGGUGGGAGGCUUUGAAGCGUGGACGCCAGUCUGCGUGGAGCCAACCUUGAAAUACCACCCUUUAAUGUUUGAUGUUCUAACGUUGGCCCCUUAUCGGGGUUGCGGACAGUGUCUGGUGGGUAGUUUGACUGGGGCGGUCUCCUCCCAAAGCGUAACGGAGGAGCACGAAGGUUAGCUAAUCCUGGUCGGACAUCAGGAGGUUAGUGCAAUGGCAUAAGCUAGCUUGACUGCGAGCGUGACGGCGCGAGCAGGUGCGAAAGCAGGUCAUAGUGAUCCGGUGGUUCUGAAUGGAAGGGCCAUCGCUCAACGGAUAAAAGGUACUCCGGGGAUAACAGGCUGAUACCGCCCAAGAGUUCAUAUCGACGGCGGUGUUUGGCACCUCGAUGUCGGCUCAUCACAUCCUGGGGCUGAAGUAGGUCCCAAGGGUAUGGCUGUUCGCCAUUUAAAGUGGUACGCGAGCUGGGUUUAGAACGUCGUGAGACAGUUCGGUCCCUAUCUGCCGUGGGCGCUGGAGAAUUGAGGGGGGCUGCUCCUAGUACGAGAGGACCGGAGUGGACGCAUCACUGGUGUUCGGGUUGUCAUGCCAAUGGCACUGCCCGGUAGCUAAAUGCGGAAGAGAUAAGUGCUGAAAGCAUCUAAGCACGAAACUUGCCCCGAGAUGAGUUCUCCCUGAGACUUUAAGUCUCCUGAAGGAACGUUGAAGACGACGACGUUGAUAGGCCGGGUGUGUAAGCGCAGCGAUGCGUUGAGCUAACCGGUACUAAUGAACCGUGAGGCUUAACCUU